rnacentral:rRNA from 1 species
UGGGGAAUAUUGCACAAUGGAGGGAACUCUGAUGCAGCGACGCCGCGUGAACGAAGAAGGCUUUCGAGUCGUAAAGUUCUUUUAUAUGGGAAGAUAAUGACGGUACCAUAAGAAAAAGCCCCGGCUAACUACGUGCCAGCAGCCGCGGUAAUACGUAGGGGGCUAGCGUUGUCCGGAAUCACUAGGCGUAAAGGGUUCGCAGGCGGAAAUGCAAGUCAGGUGUAAAAGGCAGUAGCUUAACUACUGUAAGCAUUUGAAACUGCAUAUCUUGAGAAGAGUAGAGGUAAGUGGAAUUUUUAGUGUAGCGGUGAAAUGCGUAGAUAUUAAAAAGAAUACCGGUGGCGAAGGCGACUUACUGGGCUCAUUCUGACGCUGAGGAACGAAAGCGUGGGUAGCAAACAGG